rnacentral:rRNA from 1 species
UACGUAGGGAGCAAGCGUUGUCCGGAAUCAUUGGGCGUAAAGCGCGCGUAGGCGGCCCCGUAAGUCCGCUGUGAAAGUCAAAGGCUCAACCUUUGAAAGCCGGUGGAUACUGUGGGGCUAGAGUCCGGAAGAGGAGAGUGGAAUUCCUGGUGUAGCGGUGAAAUGCGCAGAUAUCAGGAAGAACACCCGUGGCUAAGGCGGCUCUCUAGUACGGUACUGACGCUGAGACGCGAAAGCGUGGGGAGCGAACAGG